rnacentral:misc_RNA from 1 species
GUCGAAAUAUAGAAUAUAUAAAGUUCAAUUACAUUAGAGAAAGCAUAAACGUACCAUAGAAAUCAAAAAUAAUAAAGUCCAACAACAAAAAUCAAAGGACCUAGCAUAACUAGGAGUUUAUUAUCUUCCAUUCAAACUAGCGGUAACACUCACCAUCAUGAUGCACUUACUUUUGGGAAUUUGAGAUACUUAUGUUUGCUGCUCCUCUGCUCUUUUACCGCAGAAAUCAGACAGGGACUUGCUGGC